rnacentral:rRNA from 1 species
CGUACACUCCUACGGGAGGCAGCAGUGGGGAAUAUUGGACAAUGGGCGCAAGCCUGAUCCAGCCAUGCCGCGUGAGUGAUGAAGGCCCUAGGGUUGUAAAGCUCUUUCACCGGAGAAGAUAAUGACGGUAUCCGGAGAAGAAGCCCCGGCUAACUUCGUGCCAGCAGCCGCGGUAAUACGAAGGGGGCUAGCGUUGUUCGGAAUUACUGGGCGUAAAGCGCACGUAGGCGGAUCGAUCAGUCAGGGGUGAAAUCCCAGGGCUCAACCCUGGAACUGCCUUUGAUACUGUCGAUCUGGAGUAUGGAAGAGGUGAGUGGAAUUCCGAGUGUAGAGGUGAAAUUCGUAGAUAUUCGGAGGAACACCAGUGGCGAAGGCGGCUCACUGGUCCAUUACUGACGCUGAGGUGCGAAAGCGUGGGGAGCAAACAGGAUUAGAAACCCGUGUAGUCCCAUGAU